GAUGAACGCUAGCUACAGGCUUAACACAUGCAAGUCGAGGGGCAGCAUUUUAGUUUGCUUGCAAACUAAAGAUGGCGACCGGCGCACGGGUGAGUAACACGUAUCCAACCUGCCGAUAACUCGGGGAUAGCCUUUCGAAAGAAAGAUUAAUAUCCGAUAGUAUAUUAAAACCGCAUGGUUUUACUAUUAAAGAAUUUCGGUUAUCGAUGGGGAUGCGUUCCAUUAGUUUGUUGGCGGGGUAACGGCCCACCUAGUCUUCGAUGGAUAGGGGUUCUGAGAGGAAGGUCCCCCACAUUGGAACUGAGACACGGUCCAAAACUCCUACGGGAGGCAGCAGUGAGGAAUAUUGGUCAAUGGGCGAGAGCCUGAACCAGCCAAGUAGCGUGAAGGAUGACUGCCCUAUGGGUUGUAAACUUCUUUUAUAAAGGAAUAAAGUCGGGUAUGGAUACCCGUUUGCAUGUACUUUAUGAAUAAGGAUCGGCUAACUCCGUG
rnacentral:rRNA from 1 species